rnacentral:rRNA from 1 species
UAAACACCUGGAAACAGAUGCUAAUACCGGAUAACAACAGAUGAUGCCUAUCAACUGUUUAAAAGAUGGUUCUGCUAUCACUCUUGGAUGGACCUGCGGUGCAUUAGCUAGUUGGUAGGGUAACGGCCUACCAAGGCGAUGAUGCAUAGCCGAGUUGAGAGACUGAUCGGCCACAUUGGGACUGAGACACGGCCCAAACUCCUACGGGAGGCAGCAGC